AUGAUCAACACCGAACAUGGCCUUUCUCCAUUAAAAUUAGAGACAAAAGAAGGGGGGAAAUCUAAAGCAUCAAUGUGUUACUAAUAAUGUUCUUUUUUAUUAUUUGUUUUAUUUUGGAGAUUAUAAAAUAACUAUAUCAUAUCCCCUUGAUCUUACCUCAUUCCAAACCCUCCCAAAUAUCCCUCCUUGUUCGCUUUCAAAUUCAUGGCUUCUCUUCUCAGUAAUUGUUGUUGUAUGAAUAUAUGUACAUGUAUAUUACUAAAUAUAACCUGCUUCAUCUGUAUAAUGUUCCUGGCAUGCAUGUUUUCAGGGCGAAGCACUUGCUAUUGGAUAACCAGUCCAUGUGUUCUUUGCUGAGGAAGCCUAGCUCUCCCACUCUCAGCACUUCUUAGUUGCUGUGGUUUUUUGUGUAGGACUGAGGCCUAUGGGCUCUCCUCUCUUCACUUUGGCAUGUCUGUGAAAUUUUUAAGAUCAUGACCUGGUUUUGUGCCAACAGCAGCUUUUUGAUUACUUUGGGAAGAUGCAAGCUUGCUCAAUCACAGAUAACCAGAAAAGCACAGGCAGUGUUUGGAUGGGAAGCUCUGGAGCAAAGAGCUCAGAAGAACAGACCAUGGCAUGUGUUUCCUGAAACUAGGCUAGCCCAAAUCAGGCUUCAUCUUCAAGACAUCAGUUACCCAAGAGUGUUCUGCUAACAGAAGUCCCUCAACACGAUGGUUUAGAACUCUCCAGGGCAGAGGAGGUUUCCUCCAACAAGGAGAUGUUAUUUGAAUAAGUGUCCUUUAUAGCAGUGAAUACACAAUUAUUUUGUACAAUGACUUUUUACUAAGGUAAAAUCUUUUAGACAACUUGCAUCCUAAUAGAGUAGCAUUUUAGUUUCUCUUAUAAUAUUUAGUUAGACACUUUGAAAAGACAAAAAUCUAGAAUUAUGAAGUAUGCAAAUUUCAUACAUUAAGAAUUCAUAUUCAGUGAUAGUGGAGAGGUAAGCACUCUAGAAUGUUAAUCAUCUUUAAAGGCAGUAUUUUCAUUCUUAAACAGCAGCUCUCAUUUGCAGAUCUUGUUUGGAUCUUUGUCUUCCUGGCUCAUUACCUCCUGCUCCUGGAAACAUCUAAACCAAACCUUUGUGACUUCCAAUGCAGAAACUCCAUCACCCAAAAUGUAUUUUAGACCUAAGAAAAAUAAUGAUGAUGAUGUCGAUGAUGAUGAAGAUGACGACAACUACCGACUGGGAUUUAACCUGUGGCCCAGUUCAAUUCUGUCAAUUACUGAACUACUAAGGUAGGUCCUGAGCGAAAUCACUCAGGUGUAUAUACAAAACAACCAACCCAGCUAUAGUUAAUGUAAUGAGACUACGAUGUCAUGAGAACAAUGAGUAAACAUUUGAAUUAUCAUAGUUCACUACAAAGAUGACAAAUGACUAAGGACAAAGAUAGAAGGGGGUGGAAACCAGAUAUCAACUUUGUAGAUGGGGAGCAUGAGUAAUUUGAUGGCUCAUCUUCUGCUGGGAGCACCACUAUUCCUCUUUAUCCAGAUCCUCACUGGAAAGUCGUGAAGAAGGCCAGAGCCUGAGAACCUUGGCAGAGGCAUGCUUAAGUGCAGUCAUAUUCCCAGCAUUCCUCCUCCCCAAGCACGCAUGCCCAGUGGCAGAGUGGGCCAACAGCCCUACAGAACAUGAGAUGAAGCUAUCAUGGACAUCAUUCCUCCCUUCCAAAAUGUUCCUGAAAAGGCAGAUCUGAGAUAAUUGACAUGAAAACAAGCCCGUGACUCCUCCUCUCUGGUGUUGCUGAGCCAUUUCUAUGAGAGCAACAGUGAUUUGAUUCUCCCAUUUGGACUAUUUCACUGAAAGCAGGAUGUGCAAUUUAAUGUUUUGUUUCUAAAGGAUUUUUUGUUUCUUUCCUGCUUUUCUAAAGAAAAAAAAAGAGCUUGCUUUAUU